CCCUUAGAUGUUCUGGGCUGCACGCGCGCUACACUGGUGCGUUCAGCGAGUUUAGCACCUUAACAGAUAUGUUUGGGUAAUCUUCUGAAAACGCACCGUGAUGGGGAUCGAUUAUUGUAAUUAUUAAUCGUCAACGAGGAAUUCCUAGUAAGUGUGAAUCAUCAGUUCGCGCUGAUUACGUCCCUGCCCUUUGUACACACCGCCCGUCGCUGCUACCGAUUGAGUGGUCCUGUGAAUUAUUCGGACCGGUGGACUGUGGGGAAACCCGCGGCCUGCUGGGAAGUCUUGUGAACCUUAUCACUUAGAGGAAGCAGAAGUCGUAACA
rnacentral:rRNA from 1 species